CAGGCGGAGCCUACACAUGCAAGUCGAGCGAGCUCUUCGGAGCUAGCGGCGGACGGGUUAGUAACGCGUGGGAACGUGCCCUUCACUGCGGAAUAGCCACUGGAAACGGUGAGUAAUACCGCAUACGCCCUUCGGGGGAAAGAUUUAUCGGUGAAGGAUCGGCCCGCGUUAGAUUAGAUAGUUGGUGGGGUAACGGCCUACCAAGUCUACGAUCUAUAGCUGGUUUUAGAGGAUGAUCAGCAACACUGGGACUGAGACACGGCCCAGACUCCUACGGGAGGCAGCAGUGGGGAAUCUUGGACAAUGGGCGCAAGCCUGAUCCAGCCAUGCCGCGUGAGUGAUGAAGGCCUUAGGGUCGUAAAGCUCUUUCGCCAGAGAUGAUAAUGACAGUAUCUGGUAAAGAAACCCCGGCUAACUCCGUGCCAGCAGCCGCGGUAAUACGGAGGGGGUUAGCGUUGUUCGGAAUUACUGGGCGUAAAGCGCACGUAGGCGGAUCAGAAAGUUGGGGGUGAAAUCCCGGGGCUCAACCCCGGAACUGCCUCCAAAACUCCUGGUCUUGAGUUCGAGAGAGGUGAGUGGAAUUCCGAGUGUAGAGGUGAAAUUCGUAGAUAUUCGGAGGAACACCAGUGGCGAAGGCGGCUCACUGGCUCGAUACUGACGCUGAGGUGCGAAAGUGUGGGGAGCAAACAGGAUUAGAUACCCUGGUAGUC
rnacentral:rRNA from 1 species